rnacentral:rRNA from 1 species
CUAUACAUGCAGUCGAGCGAAUCGAUGGGAGCUUGCUCCUGAGAUUAGCGGCGGACGGGUGAGUAACACGUGGGCAACCUGCCUAUAAGACUGGGAUAACUUCGGGAAACCGGAGCUAAUACCGGAUACGUUCUUUUCUCGCAUGAGAGAAGAUGGAAAGACGGUUUACGCUGUCACUUAUAGAUGGGCCCGCGGCGCAUUAGCUAGUUGGUGAGGUAAUGGCUCACCAAGGCGACGAUGCGUAGCCNACCUGAGAGGGUNAUCGGCCACACUGGGACUGAGACACGGCCCAGACUCCUACGGGAGGCAGCAGUAGGGAAUCUUC